UACGGAGGGGGCUAGCGUUGUUCGGAAUUACUGGGCGUAAAGCGCGCGUAGGCGGCUUUGUAAGUUAGAGGUGAAAGCCCGAAGCUUAACUCCGGAACUGCCUUUAAGACUGCAUCGCUAGAAUCGUGGAGAGGUGAGUGGAAUUCCGAGUGUAGAGGUGAAAUUCGUAGAUAUCAGGAGGAACACCGGUGGCGAAGGCGGAUCUCUGGGCCAUAACUGACGCUGAGGAGCGAAAGCAUGGGGAGCGAACAGG
rnacentral:rRNA from 1 species